rnacentral:rRNA from 1 species
GACGAACGCUGGCGGCGUGCCUAAUUCAUGCAAGUAGAACGCACAUUUUAUACCGUAGCUUGCUACACCAUAAACUGUGAGUUGCGAACUGGUGAGUAACGCGUAGGUAACCUGCCUGUUAGCGGCGGUUAACUAUUGGAUACGAUAGCUAAUACCGCAUAAUAUUGAUUAUUGCAUGAUAAUUGAUUGAAAGAUGCUAUUGCAUCACUACCAGAUGGACCUGAGUUGUAUUAGAUAGUAGGUGAGGUAACGGCUCACCUAUGCGAAGAUACAUAGGCGAACUGAGAGAGUGAUCGGCCACGCUGGGACUGGGAAACAACCAAGACUCCUACGAGAGGCAGAAGUGGGGGAUGUUGAGCAAUGGACGAAAGUCUGAGCGAGCAACGCCGAGUGAGUGAAGAGGGUUGACGGAUAGUAAGGCUAUGUUAUAGGAGAAGAACGGGAGUGAGAGAGGAAAGGUGAAACAGUAACGGUGUCUGACGAGGAAGAAACAGCAAAAUACGAG